rnacentral:rRNA from 1 species
GAUGAACGCUGACAGAAUGCUUAACACAUGCAAGUCAUUGGCGAAGCUGCGCUUGCGCAGUCUAGCCAAGGCGGACGGGUGAGUAACGCGUAAGGAACUUGCCCUGCAGACAGGGAUAACAGACGGAAACGACUGAUAACACCUGGUAUUGUCAGGCUGGCGCAUGCCGGCCUGAUGAAAGGAGACGCUGCAGGAGAGCCUUGCGUCCUAUUAGCUAGUUGGUGGGGUAACGGCCCACCAAGGCGAUGAUAGGUAGCCGGCCUGAGAGGGUGAACGGCCACAAGGGGAAUGAGAUACGGCCCUUACUCCUGCGGGAGGCAGCAGUGGGGAAUAUUGGACAAUGGGGGCAACCCUGAUACAGCAAUUCUGUGUGCACGAAGAAGGUUUUCGGAUUGUAAAGUGCUUUCAGCAGAGAAGGAGAAAGUGACGGUACCUGCAGAAGAAGCGACGGCUAAAUACGUG